rnacentral:tRNA from 1 species
UGGUGAUUGUAGCUCAGUCGGUUAGAGCGCCGGAUUGUGGUUCCGGAGGUCGCGGGUUCGAGCCCCGUCUUUCACCCUCCA